rnacentral:lncRNA from 1 species
ACUCGCGCAACAGCCAAACCCGAGAGCCAUCUUCUCGGAUUUUUAUACUGCGUACCGGUACACGAAAUCCUGUCACCGGUACACAGCCUAUUUCCAGCUCAAACCCGAGAGCAGCCUUUUCCUCAGGUCGCUUGCUGUACCAGUACAGCCAUCAAGCUGUACCGGUACACAAUGCUCCAGAGUGCAGUUUUAGCUCGUUUUCGAUUCUAUUUCACACCGAACAACGCUAAAACCAUUCUAACUCUUUUAGAACUCAUUUUUAACCCUUCUACAU